rnacentral:rRNA from 1 species
GGCAUCAUUAAAUAUUUAAAACUCCGGUGGUGAUAGAUGAGCAUGCGUUCUAUUAGUUUGUUGGUGAGGUAAAAGCUCACCAAGACUACGAUAGAUAGGGGGCCUGAAAGGGUGAUCCCCCACACUGGUACUGAGACACGGACCAGACUCCUACGGGAGGCAGCAGUGAGGAAUAUUGCACAAUGGAGGAAACUCUGAUGCAGCCAUGCCGCGUGCAGGAUGACGGCCCUACGGGUUGUAAACCGCUUUUUUACAAGAAGAAACCUUGGUACGUGUACCAAAUUGACGGUAUUGUAAGAAUAAGCACCGGCUAACUCCGUGCCAGCAGCCGCGGUAAUACGGAGGGUGCAAGCGUUAUCCGGAUUUAUUAGGUUUAAAGGGUUCGCAGGCGGAAUUUUAAGUCAGUGGUGAAAGCCUAUAGCUCAACUAUAGAACUGCCACUGAUACUGAUAUUCUUGAGUGUAGAUGAAGUGGGCGGAAUAUGUCAUGUAGCGGUGAAAUGCAUAGAUAUGACAUGGAACACCAAUUGCGAAGGCAGCUCACUAAACUAUUACUGACGCUCAUGAAUGAAAGCAUGGGGAGCAAACAGGAUUACAUACCCUGGUAGUCCAUGCCGUAAACUAUGAUCACUAGAUGUUGGC